UACGUAGGUGGCGAGCGUUGUCCGGAUUUACUGGGCGUAAAGAGCGCGCAGGCGGUCGUUCAAGUCGCGUGUGAAAGCCCCCGGCUCAACUGGGGAGGGUCACGCGAUACUGAUCGACUCGAAGGCAGGAGAGGGAAGUGGAAUUCCCGGUGUAGUGGUGAAAUGCGUAGAUAUUGGGAGGAACACCGGUGGCGAAGGCGGCCAACUGGGCUGCAACUGACGCUGAGGCGCGAAAGCGUGGGGAUCAAACAGG
rnacentral:rRNA from 1 species